GAUGAACGCUGGCGGUGUGCCUAAUACAUGCAAGUCGAGCGACCAGACAGUAAGAUUGUUCUCUUGCCGGUAGCGGGGGACGGGCGGGUGAGAAAUGCAUCAGAAUCUUCUUAUUCUGGGAUAAUAUCGGAGAACAGGUGAUGCUAAUAGCUAAUACAAUGUACCGGUUGGAUCAAUAGUGAUUCGCGCCUUUGGUGUUUGAUUUAGCCGGUGCCGGAUUAGCUAGUUGGCUGGGUAAGGUCCCACCAAGGCAACGAUACGUAGCUGGUCUGAGAGGAUGAUCAGCCACACUGGAACUGAGACACGGUCCAGACUCCUACGGGAGGCAGCAGUGGGGAAUAUUGGACAAUGGGCGCAAGCCUGAUCCAGCAAUACCGCGUGAGUGAAGAAGGCCUUCGGGUUGUAAAGCCCUUUUGUUGGGAAAGAACAGAAGCAGAUUAAUACCCGGACGUUCUGACGGUACCUAAAGAAUAAGCCCCGGCUAACUUCGUG
rnacentral:rRNA from 1 species